AACCUUUAGCCACCAACCAAUAUUAAAGGGCGAUGCCUGCCCAGUGAACAAUUUAACGGCCGCGGUACCCUAACCGUGCAAAGGUAGCGUAAUCAUUUGUCUAUUAAUUGUAGACCUGUAUGAAAGGCAAAACGAGGGCCUAACUGUCUCUUAUAGUGAAUCAAUUAAACUGAUCACCCAGUCCAAAAGCUGGGAUACUAACAUAAGACCAGAAGACCCUGUGAAGCUUAAACUAAAAUAUUAAACCCUAUAAUAUCUCCUUUCGGUUGGGGCGACCUUGGAAAAAAAAAGAACUUCCAAACACACUGAUUUUACAAUCAUAACCUAAGGCAAACAAGCCUAACAACGACCCAGCAUGGCUGACAAUUGAACCAAGUUACUCCAGGGAUAACAGCGCUAUCUUCUUCAAGAGCCCAUAUCAAAAAGAAGGUUUACGACCUCGAUGUUGGAUCAGGACAUCCUAAUGGUGCAGCCGCUAUUAAGGGUUCGUUUGUUCAACGAUUAACAGUCC
rnacentral:rRNA from 1 species